UACGUAGGGGCCAAGCGUUGUCCGGAUUUAUUGGGCGUAAAGAGCUCGUAGGCGGCUUGUCACGUCGGAUGUGAAAGCCCGGGGCUUAACCCCGGGUCUGCAUUCGAUACGGGCAGGCUAGAGUUCGGUAGGGGAGACUGGAAUUCCUGGUGUAGCGGUGAAAUGCGCAGAUAUCAGGAGGAACACCGGUGGCGAAGGCGGGUCUCUGGGCCGAUACUGACGCUGAGGAGCGAAAGCGUGGGGAGCGAACAGG
rnacentral:rRNA from 1 species